rnacentral:rRNA from 1 species
GUCUAUGGCCAUGCCACCCUGAACGCGCCCAAUCUCGUCUGAUCUCAGAAGCUAAGCAGGGUCGGGUCUGGUUAGUACUUGGAUGGGAGACCAAUAAAAAUAAAGAAAUCUCUAAAAA